rnacentral:rRNA from 1 species
CGGAGCGAAGCGACGUCAAACCGAUAAAACAGCAGUGUAAAGUGAGCCGCAGGGCGCUUUGCGCGACAGCGCAAAGGCAGGCGGUUUCGCGUAGCGAAAGCGAAUGCUUUGGGGUGGGGUGACUGCGUACCUUUUGUAUAAUGGGUCAGCGACUUAUAUUCUGUAGCAAGGUUAACCGAAUAGGGGAGCCGUAGGGAAACCGAGUCUUAACCGGGCGUUAAGUUGCAGGGUAUAGACCCGAAACCCGGUGAUCUAGCCAUGGGCAGGUUGAAGGUUGGGUAACACUAACUGGAGGACCGAACCGACUAAUGUUGAAAAAUUAGCGGAUGACCUGUGGCUGGGGGUGAAAGGCCAAUCAAACCGGGAGAUAGCUGGUUCUCCCCGAAAGCUAUUUAGGUAGCGCCUCGUGAAUUCAUCUCCGGGGGUAGAGCACUGUUUCGGCUAGGGGGCCAUCCCGGCUUACCAACCCGAUGCAAACUGCGAAUACCGGAGAAUGUUAUCACGGGAGACACACGGCGGGUGCUAACGUCCGUCGUGAAGAGGGAAACAACCCAGACCGCCAGCUAAGGUCCCAAAGUCAUGGUUAAGUGGGAAACGAUGUGGGAAGGCCCAGACAGCCAGGAUGUUGGCUUAGAAGCAGCCAUCAUUUAAAGAAAGCGUAAUAGCUCACUGGUCGAGUCGGCCUGCGCGGAAGAUGUAACGGGGCUAAACCAU